rnacentral:rRNA from 1 species
GAUGAACGCUGGCGGCGUGCUUAACACAUGCAAGUCGAACGGAAAGGCCUCUGCUUGCCGGGGUUCUCGAGUGCCGAACGGGUGAGUAACACGUGUGUGAUCUGCCCUGCACUUCGGGGUAAGCCUGGGAAACUGGGGCUAAUACCGGAUAGGACAAUGGUUUGGGUGCUGUUGUGGAAAGUUUUUCGGUGUGGGAUGAGCUCGCGGCCUAUAAGCUUGUUGGUGGGGUAAUGGCCUACCAAGGCGUCGACGGGUAGCCGGCAUGAGAGGGUGUACGGCCAGACUGGAACUGAACGGCGGCCCAGACUCCUGAGGGUGGCAGCAGUGGGGAAUGUUGGACAAUGGGAGCAAGCCUGAGGGAGCGAGGCCGCGUGGGGGAUGACGGCCUUUGGGUUGUAAGCACCUAUGGCUAGGGACGAAGCGUUUUUGUGACGGUACCUGGAGAAGAAGCACCGGCUAACUACGUG